CAAUAGCGUAUAUUAAAGUUGUUGCGGUUAAAAAGCUCGUAGUUGGAUUUCUGCUGAGAACGACCGGUCCGCCCUUUGGGUGUGUAUCUGGCUCUUUCUUGGCAUCUUCUUGGUGAACGUUGCUGCACUUGACUGUGUGGAGCGCUACCCAGGACUUUUACUUUGAGGAAAUUAGAGUGUUUCAAGCAGGCAUACGCCUUGAAUACAUUAGCAUGGAAUAAUAAGAUAGGACCUCGGUUCUAUUUUGUUGGUUUCUAGAGCUGAGGUAAUGAUUAAUAGGGAUAGUUGGGGGCAUUCGUAUUUAACUGUCAGAGGUGAAAUUCUUGGAUUUGUUAAAGGCGGACUACUGCGAAAGCAUUUGCCAAGGAUGUUUUCAUUAA
rnacentral:rRNA from 1 species